AAAGAAGUACUUUAGUAUGAAGAAGGCUUGAUUUGCAAUUAAGUAGAGGGUGAGCCCCUUCUUUU
rnacentral:tRNA from 1 species